GAUGAACGCUGGCGGCGUGCCUAAUACAUGCAAGUCGAGCGAACAGAUAAGGAGCUUGCUCCUUUGACGUUAGCGGCGGACGGGUGAGUAACACGUGGGUAACCUACCUAUAAGACUGGAAUAACUCCGGGAAACCGGGGCUAAUGCCGGAUAACAUUUAGAACCGCAUGGUUCUAAAGUGAAAGAUGGUUUUGCUAUCACUUAUAGUUGGACCCGCGCCGUAUUAGCUAGUUGGUAAGGUAACGGCUUACCAAGGCAACGAUACGUAGCCGACCUGAGAGGGUGAUCGGCCACACUGGAACUGAGACACGGUCCAGACUCCUACGGGAGGCAGCAGUAGGGAAUCUUCCGCAAUGGGCGAAAGCCUGACGGAGCAACGCCGCGUGAGUGAUGAAGGGUUUCGGCUCGUAAAACUCUGUUAUUAGGGAAGAACAAACGUGUAAGUAACUGUGCACGUCUUGACGGUACCUAAUCAGAAAGCCACGGCUAACUACGUGCCAGCAGCCGCCGUAAAAC
rnacentral:rRNA from 1 species